rnacentral:rRNA from 1 species
GAUGAAUGCUGGCGGCGUGCCUAAUACAUGCAAGUCGAGCGGUAAGGCCCUUCGGGUACGACGAGCGGCGGACGGCUGAGUAACGCGUGGGAACAUGCCCCAAAGUGAGGGAUAACGCACCGAAAGGUGUGCUAAUACCGCAUAUGGUCUUCGGAUUAAAGGAUUUAUCCGCUUUGGGAGUGGCCCGCGUACGAUUAGUUUGUUGGUGAGGUAAUGGCUUACCAAGACUACGAUCGCAACUGGUCUGAGAGGAUGAUCAGUCAGACUGGAACUGAGACACGGUCCAGACUCCUACGGGAGGGCAGCAGUAAGGAAUCUUCCACAAUGGGCGAAAGCCUGAUGGAGCAACGCCGCGUGCAGAAGAC